rnacentral:misc_RNA from 1 species
AAAAUAUAGCAAACCAAGCGUCAGCGAAGUUUUGCGAUCAAAAUUGUAUUUAAAACCCAACUCUUUGAAUCAAAUAUAUUAUGUAUUUUAAAAAUAAAUAAAGA